GUCGAACGGACUCAUAUUGAAACCUAGUGAUUUAUGAGUUAGUGGCGGACGGGUGAGUAACGCGUGGAUAACCUGCCGUAUACCGGGGGAUAACACUUGGAAAUAGGUGCUAAUACCGCAUAAGCGCACGGCUCCGCAUGGGGCAGUGUGAAAAACUCCGGUGGUAUACGAUGGAUCCGCGUCUGAUUAGCUAGUUGGCGGGGUAACGGCCCACCAAGGCAGCGAUCAGUAGCCGGCCUGAGAGGGUGGACGGCCACAUUGGGACUGAGACACGGCCCAAACUCCUACGGGAGGCAGCAGUGGGGAAUAUUGCACAAUGGGGGAAACCCUGAUGCAGCGACGCCGCGUGAGUGAAGAAGUAUCUCGGUACGUAAAGCUCUAUCAGCAGGGAAGAAAAUGACGGUACCUGACUAAGAAGCCCCGGCUAACUACGUGCCAGCAGCCGCGGUAAUACGUAGGGGGCAAGCGUUAUCCGGAUUUACUGGGUGUAAAGGGAGCGUAGACGGCAGCACAAGUCUGGAGUGAAAUCCCGGGGCUUAACCCCGGAACUGCUUUGGAAACUGUGCGGCUGGAGUGCAGGAGGGGUAAGCGGAAUUCCUAGUGUAGCGGUGAAAUGCGUAGAUAUUAGGAGGAACACCGGUGGCGAAGGCGGCUUACUGGACUGUAACUGACGUUGAGGCUCGAAAGCGUGGGGAGCAAACAGGAUUAGAUACCCUGGUAGUCCACGCCGUAAACGAUGAUUACUAGGUGUCGGGGGAUCAAGGUCCU
rnacentral:rRNA from 1 species